GACCCAGGCCAAGGUGGGGGCGCUCCAGGCGCCCCUCGGCCCUGGCUCCGAGCGGCUGCGCCCCGGGCUGCGCGCCCCAGCCCAGCCCCCGCGCAUUCCUGAGGCGACAGUGCGACCCAGCGGGCCGCGGGGAAACUGCGCAGGACCGCGGCCAGGGCAGCAGAGACGGGGUCCGAGGUGGGACCGCGGCGCCUUCCUCCUCCGGUGGCAAAGAUGUGCUGGAAAGCUCUGGUUGAGGACCCUGGAGCUUCUAAUGCAGACGUUAGACGUGGUAUUUAUGAAGUCCAAGCAAGCAACUGUCUCCCUCCUACCCCAGUUUACUUAACUGUUUUUAUCUCAAGAUUGACCCUCCUGAUCUAGUAAACUCUGUAGAUACUGAGAUUCCAAGCAGGCUCAGCCACCUUCUCCCUGACAUCGUCCUCUGCCUCAGUGGGCGCGCCCCUCAGCCUGCUGCCAUGGCCGUUGUGCCUGCCUCAGCUCUCACCAUCUAUGCCAUGAACUGGUUCCCUCCUAGAGACACCUUCCUCCUCUAGGUUAGCCGGGAAAACCCCUGCAUGAGCAGCCACACUUCCUCACUGACCGCCUGUCACUGAAGUGCUGAUUGAAAACCAGACUGCCCUGUGUAAUGCUGACUUGACCCAGCAGGCCAGUAUUUUUCAAUGUCCACUGCACCUAUGUUCAGAGCCUACUGACGCCAUACAACUUGAACAUCCGGUAACCCUGAAUGUACAGUGACCCCACAUUCUGAAGGGGAAAAAAAACUCUCCAAAAUAACAAAGUCAGAAUUUUGGGAACUUGAUGCCAACUUGAAAAGUAAAUGUUUAGAAUACAGAAAAGAGUCAUCGUCAGCAUAUGGGACUGGAUCCAUUCGUUUGGUCACAUAUAAAUAUUCAAAUAUGUGGGACAAUGCAUUUUUGCAUUUCCCUAUUAUUUUUAUUGUGUUUGCAGUGCAUGAUCACUGUAUUCACCGUGGGGGACUGGUUCAUGUGCAUAACACAUCCCAAUUUCCUUUCAUCCGAUUCACUUCCCCUCCUUCCCUUCCCCUCCAUCUCUUGGUUCCCUUGCCCUUUGCAAAAAUACUAUCUCCUUGUAUCCUAUUAUCUGCCUAAUAGAUUAAUUUUGAAAUAUAUGUUUUAUUCUCACA